GGUUAUGACUAUUCAGCCUACAGUCAGUGGGACUACAGGGACAAUUACAGUUACUACGAACAGGACUAUUACCGAGGACAGCACCAGCACCCAGAUGGAGGUCAGUGGGGACAACAUGAGUCCUGGCAAAGGGAACAGUAUCAAGAACACGCAGAAAAACAGAAAAACAUUUCAACCAACACAGAGGAGAGGUAUGACCAAAGGAAAGAGAAUGCACAAAAAUACAAAAGCAACUAUGAGGACACUACAAC